UGGUGGCAGCUCAGGUAAUUCAGGCUUGGGAAGCUCAGGCAAUGUUACCUCUAGAAGAUGUCGUGCAUCUACAUUGAUUGACAGAGUGACGAGUGAGAGCAGAAAGAUGAAACGUGGGGAAGGAAGAUUUUCCAUAAUAUGGAGACAAGAUCAGCCGGCUGCAAAAUGAGUAGCAAUUAAGUUUUUCCUUUCACUUCUAUUGCGUGUGUUGAUUUUCACUUGUGUUGAGCUUUUAUAGAAGUGGGAAGUGGAGAAUAGAGAAGCUUC
rnacentral:misc_RNA from 1 species